UACGAAGGGGGGCUAGCGUUGCUCGGAAUGACUGGGCGUAAAGGGCGCGUAGGCGGAUGGCACAGUCAGAUGUGAAAUUCCCGGGCUUAACCUGGGGGCUGCAUUUGAUACGUGUGAUCUAGAGUGAGGAAGAGGGUCGUGGAAUUCCCAGUGUAGAGGUGAAAUUCGUAGAUAUUGGGAAGAACACCGGUGGCGAAGGCGGCGACCUGGUCCUUGACUGACGCUGGAGGCGACGAAAGCGUGGGGAGCAAACAGG
rnacentral:rRNA from 1 species